GGUUGGUCCAAAAAAUGGGGUUCUCAACCAUAUGUGUCACGUCGAACGACAUCUCUUAGAGAGCUGACAACUCUCGGAAUAAAGAACGCAGAGAACCUUGCAAUCCCAAGUGUCAGAAAUGAUGCAGCUUUUCUGUUUACGGUGGUAGGCACAACUGGGUUUUUGGGAGUUCUUGCAGGGCAACUUCCUGGUGAUUGGGGUUUCUUCGUUCCAUACUUGAUUGGGAGCAUAUCUUUAGUAGUUUUGGGAAUCGGAAGUACUUCCCCAGCGUCGUUAUGGCUCAUUCUUUUAUUCAUUAUGUAGGCUCCUUCAGGCCGC
rnacentral:misc_RNA from 1 species